AGUCACUUUAUAGAAUCUAAAUUCACAAAUCAACUGUCGUCUUCACUUCACUGAUUCAUUGCUGAUGGGCCUUUCAUAAGGUGAAGAAAAAAAAAAGAAGAAGAAGAAAAAAAAUCCCUUCCGAGUUGACAAGAGUAAUAAAUGGGGAGGUUGGAGCUGCCCAUCCAUCCGGCUGGCCCCGCCGACCGGCCGGUAGUGAUACAUGGCAGAAUCAGCUCAUAAACCAGCCGCAUCUUUUGACCCUGGCAGAGUCGAUGGAAACAGAGGUGCAUUUAUGACCAUCACUGAUUAAGGAUGACGGUGGGACCAGAGAAUGAGAGCAACCCAAGGCACCCCUUGGGAACCAGGCACCAGAGCAGGAGAACCCCAAAUCCUGCAUUGUAGGGAGGGCUUCUCUUUAUCCAUUUGUAUGUCCCUUUGUUUACCAAGGUGGGGGAGGGUCUGGAAGGGCACCUUGGGGUCUGCAGAGAAAACGCCCCUAAAACAUCAGGAAGAAGGAAGGACAUCCCCGACAGAGGACACGGUAAGGCUGCAGACGUCUCUGGAGCUGCCUGGCCCAAUUUCCCUGGAAUGCCACAAACAAUCCAAAGAACACCCCCCCCCCCCCCCCCCCCCCGCCAGAGUGCGAGAAAUUACUAUGGUUGACCAAUUCACAG
rnacentral:lncRNA from 1 species